AAAUAUCCAAAUUUGCCUAUUUUCAGUAACUAACUAGUGAACAUUAUAUUGUAUUACAUAACCAUUAGUUAAAAACAGAAUCCAUGGUCUAGUAGGAAAGGUCUAUGAUGGAAACCUACAGCCUGAAAAGCAUCUUAGAUAUUAAUCUCAGCACAGGUCAACAGAUAGAAGAUAUUGUAUAAUCAGAUUUAAUUUAUUAUGGAAGGAGCAGCAAUGAUGAAACAAGAGCCUCAAGCAAAUGAUGUUCAGACAAGGUAUUUAAUAAUUUUUCAUUACUGUUAUUAUAAUUGUUCUUAAUCAUUACAAUAUGGAUAAUGAAACUGAAUAGACUGAAUCUCUUACAUUUUUAAUUAUAAAAAAGAAGAUGCAGUAUGAUUGCCAAUGAGACAACUCUCCACAAGAGACCAAAUAACACAGAAAUUAACAACUAUAGGUAGCCAUAUGAUCUUCAAGAAUGAGCAAAGCCCAUACCACAUGGUCAGCUAUAAAAGGUCCCACCAUGACAAUGUAAAACAAUUCAAACAAGAAAAUUGAUUAGCAUACUAUAUGAUAUUUUUACAAUAUACCAACUAACUAUUCUUAUUUUGAAUUCAGUUCAAUAUUUGAUAAUGAUAAUAAUAAUUCACUGAAUAGUUAUAAUUUGAAUGUAUUUUUUAGGUAUUCAGAAAUAGCUGUUAUUAAUCAUCUUGAAGACCUCCUGAAAAAGAAAAUUGAUGAUCUGGCUGUAAAAAUUAUGUACCAGGCUGAAUUAAUGGAACGCAAUAAAAUUAAAUUGAAUAGUGACAUUGUGUUUAAGAAGCAAUUAAAAUCCCGAAAAAGGGAUUUAAUGUCUGAAGAAUUAAACAGUUAACAUUGGAAAAUGGACAAACCAGAUAUAUGGUUUUUUAAAUUUCUAAAGACAUUUGUUGUUGAAUUAAUUUUGUAUUAUACAUUUGUGUAAUAAAAUGUAUAAA